rnacentral:rRNA from 1 species
AGUGAACGCUGGCGGUAGGCCUAACACAUGCAAGUCGAACGGCAGCACAGUAAGAGCUUGCUCUUAUGGGUGGCGAGUGGCGGACGGGUGAGGAAUACAUCGGAAUCUACCUUUUCGUGGGGGAUAACGUAGGGAAACUUACGCUAAUACCGCAUACGACCUUCGGGUGAAAGCAGGGGACCUUCGGGCCUUGCGCGGAUAGAUGAGCCGAUGUCGGAUUAGCUAGUUGGCGGGGUAAAGGCCCACCAAGGCGACGAUCCGUAGCUGGUCUGAGAGGAUGAUCAGCCACACUGGAACUGAGACACGGUCCAGACUCCUACGGGAGGCAGCAGUGGGGAAUAUUGGACAAUGGGCGCAAGCCUGAUCCAGCCAUACCGCGUGGGUGAAGAAGGCCUUCGGGUUGUAAAGCCCUUUUGUGGGAAAGAAAAGCAGUCGAUUAAUACU